rnacentral:rRNA from 1 species
GAUGAACGCUGGCGGCGUGCCUAAUACAUGCAAGUCGAGCGAACGGACGAGAAGCUUGCUUUUCUGAUGUUAGCGGCGGACGGGUGAGUAACACGUGGAUAACCUACCUAUAAGACUGGGAUAACUUCGGGAAACCGGAGCUAAUACCGGAUAAUAUUUUGAACCGCAUGGUUCAAAAGUGAAAGACGGUCUUGCUGUCACUUAUAGAUGGAUCCGCGCCGCAUUAGCUAGUUGGUAAGGUAACGGCUUACCAAGGCAACGAUGCAUAGCCGACCUGAGAGGGUGAUCGGCCACACUGGAACUGAGACACGGUCCAGACUCCUACGGGAGGCAGCAGUAGGGAAUCUUCCGCAAUGGGCGAAAGCCUGACGGAGCAACGCCGCGUGAGUGAUGAAGGUCUUCGGAUCGUAAAACUCUGUUAUUAGGGAAGAACAUAUGUGUAAGUAACUGUGCACAUCUUGGCGGUACCUAAUCAGAAAGCCACGGCUAACUACGUG